rnacentral:rRNA from 1 species
CAGCCGCCGCGGUAAAACGAACCGUGCGAACGUUAUUCGGAAUCACUGGGCUUAAAGCGCGUGUAGGCGGAUGGGAGCGUCGGCCUCUGAAAUCCCCCGGCUCAACCGGGGAAGUGGAGCCGAAACGACCCGUCUGGAGGGACGUAGGGGGACCUGGAACUUCCGGUGGAGCGGUGAAAUGCGUUGAGAUCGGAAGGAACGCCCGUGGCGAAAGCGAGGUCCUGGACGUCUGCUGACGCUGAGACGCGAAAGCCAGGGGAGCGAACGGGAUUAGAUACCCGCGUAGUCCCUGUCUCUUAUA